rnacentral:rRNA from 1 species
CCUUCAUGAAGUCGGAAUUGCUAGUAAUGGCAGGUCAGCAUACUGCCGUGAAUACGUUCCCGGGCCUUGUACACACCGCCCGUCACACCAUGAGAGUUGGAGAUACCCGAAGCCUGUGAACUAACUUUUAGAGGCAGCAGUCGAAGGUAGAAUCAAUGAUUGGGGUGAAGUCGUAACAAGGUAGC